GAAAAUACCCAAAAUUAAAAUAAAAGCCAACAUGUUGUAUGUUAUUUGAUCAUCUAUAUAGUCUUUAUUUAGUCU
rnacentral:ribozyme from 1 species